UACGUAGGGUGCGAGCGUUGUCCGGAAUUAUUGGGCGUAAAGAGCUUGUAGGCGGUCUGUCGCGUCUGCUGUGAAAAUCCGGGGCUCAACCCCGGACUUGCAGUGGGUACGGGCAGGCUAGAGUGUGGUAGGGGAGACUGGAAUUCCUGGUGUAGCGGUGAAAUGCGCAGAUAUCAGGAGGAACACCGGUGGCGAAGGCGGAUCUCUGGGCCGUAACUGACGCUGAGGAGCGAAAGCAUGGGGAGCGAACAGG
rnacentral:rRNA from 1 species